rnacentral:piRNA from 1 species
UUAUUUACUGCCCUGUUUGCUUUUUCAGCA